rnacentral:piRNA from 1 species
UUUUAAUUACAAUUUGAAUAA